rnacentral:rRNA from 1 species
UAAGGAAUAUUGGUCAAUGGAGGCAACUCUGAACCAGCCAUGCCGCGUGAAGGAUUAAGGCCCUCUGGGUUGUAAACUUCUUUUAUAUGGGAAGAAAUGUACUUUUUCUAAAGUGCUUGACGGUACCAUAGGAAUAAGCACCGGCUAACUCCGUGCCAGCAGCCGCGGUAAUACGGAGGGUGCAAGCGUUAUCCGGCUUUACUGGGUUUAAAGGGUGCGUAGGCGGAUGAAUAAGUCAGUGGUGAAAUCUCCGAGCUUAACUCGGAAACUGCCGUUGAUACUAUUUGUCUUGAAUAUUGUGGAGGUAAGCGGAAUAUGUCAUGUAGCGGUGAAAUGCUUAGAUGGGACAUAGAACACCAAUUGCGAAGGCAGCUUGCUACACAAUCAUUGACGCUGAGGCACGAAAGCGUGGGGAUCAAACA